rnacentral:rRNA from 1 species
UACGGAGGGAGCUAGCGUUGUUCGGAAUUACUGGGCGUAAAGCGCACGUAGGCGGCUAUUCAAGUCAGAGGUGAAAGCCCGGGGCUCAACCCCGGAACUGCCUUUGAAACUAGAUAGCUAGAAUCUUGGAGAGGUCAGUGGAAUUCCGAGUGUAGAGGUGAAAUUCGUAGAUAUUCGGAAGAACCCCAGUGGCGAAGGCGACUGACUGGACAAGUAUUGACGCUGAGGUGCGAAAGCGUGGGGAGCAAACAGG